GGGGUAGCUCAGUUGGUAGAGCAUGAGACUCUUAAUCUCAGGGUUGUAGGUUUAAGACCCUCCUUGGCCA